UGUGUACGUAGUCCCUUAAUCCCACUUUCAUUAGCAGUGUUGGUCUUACCGUCAUAUUUGUUAAAUUCAGGGGUAAAAUCUAGCCACCAUCACUCAUAUCAGCGACUCUCACCACCACUUCGUACCCAAAUUCACCGUUUCCACCACAACAAGAACAAACAACAAAACCCAAUUGCCUUCUUUUGAGUUUUUUUUUAAAAUGUACAUGUCCCAUCAAACAUCCAAGUUCACCCCACUAUGUUUUUUUUUUUUUGAAAACCUUAAAAUACAACUAUAC
rnacentral:lncRNA from 1 species